AUUUGAAAUCUGGCCCUCGUGGUCCGAGUUGUAAUUUGUAGAGGAUGCUUUUGGCGAGGUGCCUUCUGAGUUCCCUGGAACGGGACGCCAGAGAGGGUGAGAGCCCCGUACGGUUGGACACCGAGCCUCUAUAUAGCUCCUUCGACGAGUCGAGUAGUUUGGGAAUGCUGCUCUAAAUGGGAGGUAAAUUUCUUCUAAAGCUAAAUACCGGCCAGAGACCGAUAGCGCACAAGUAGAGUGAUCGAAAGAUGAAAAGCACUUUGAAAAGAGGGUUAAAUAGCACGUGAAAUUGUUGAAAGGGAAGCGUUUGCGACCAGACUUUUUCCAGGCGGAUCAUCCGGCAUUUUUGCCGGUGCACUUCGCCUGGUCUAGGCCAGCAUCGGUUUCCUUAGGGGGAUAAAGGCUUGGGGAAUGUAGCUCCCUCGGGAGUGUUAUAGCCCCUUGCGUAAUACCCCUCGGGGGACCGAGGAUCACGCUUUUGCAAGGAUGCUGGCGUAAUGGUCGUCAACGACCCGUCUUGAAACACGGACCAAGGAGUCGAACAUUUGUGCGAGUGUUUGGGUGUUAAACCCUCACGCGUAAUGAAAGUGAACGGAGGUGAGAGCCCUUCGGGGUGCAUCAUCGACCGAUCCUGAUGUCUUCGGAUGGAUUUGAGUAAGAGCAUAACUGUUCGGACCCGAAAGAUGGUGAACUAUGCGUGGAUAGGGUGAAGCCAGAGGAAACUCUGGUGGAGGCUCGCAGCGGUUCUGACGUGCAAAUCGAUCGUCAAAUCUGCGCA
rnacentral:rRNA from 1 species